AAUGUGAACUAAUCUUGAAUAGGUGGAAGCAGGAGAAACUUUGUGAGCUUGCAGCGGUUGACGUCAAUCGAUCGUCAAAUUUGGCUUAGGGCGAAAGGACUAAUCGAACUAUCUAGUAGCUGGUUUUUUCCUUCCCUGCUGAACUAAGCAUAUCAAUAAGCGGAGGAAAAGAAACCAACAGGGACUGCCCUAGUAACGGCGAGUGAAGCGGCAACAGCUCAAAUUUGAAAUCUGGCUCUCUCAGAGUCCGAGUUGUAAUUUGCAGAGGGCGCUUUGGCUUUGGCAGCGGUCCAAGUUCCUUGCAACAGGACGUCACAGAGGGUGAGAAUCCCGUACGUGGUCGCUAGCUAUUGCCGUGUAAAGCCCCUUCGACGAGUCGAGUUGUUUGGGAAUGCAGCUCUAAAUGGGAGGUAAAUUUCUUCUAAAGCUAAAUAUUGGCCAGAGACCGAUAGCGCACAAGUAGAGUGAUCGAAAGAUGAAAAGCACUUUGGAAAGAGAGUCAAACAGCACGUGAAAUUGUUGAAAGGGAAGCGCUUGCAGCCAGACUUGCUUGCAGUUGCUCAUCCGGGCUUUUGCCCGGUGCACUCUUCUGCAGGCAGGCCAGCAUCAGUUUGGGCGGUGGGAUAAAGGUCUCUGACACGUUCCUUCCUUCGGGUUGGCCAUAUAGGGGAGACGUCAUACCACCAGCCUGGACUGAGGUCCGCGCAUCUGCUAGGAUGCUGGCGUAAUGGCUGUAAGCGGCCCGUCUUGAAACACGGACCAAGGAGUCUAACAUCUAUGCGAGUGUUUGGGUGUCAAGCCCGAGCGCGUAAUGAAAGUGAACGGAGGUGGGAACCCGCAAGGGCGCACCAUCGACCGAUCCUGAAGUUUACGGAAGGAUUUGAGUAAGAGCAUGGCUGUUGGGACCCGAAAGAUGGUGAACUAUGCUUGAAUAGGGUGAAGCCAGAGGAAACUCUGGUGGAGGCUCGCAGCGGUUCUGACGUGCAAAUCGAUCGUCAAAUUUGGGCAUAGGGC
rnacentral:rRNA from 1 species